rnacentral:rRNA from 1 species
GUGGUAAUACCGGAUGCUCCGCUCCAUCGCAUGGUGGGGUGGGAAAUGCUUUUGCGGCAUGGGAUGGGGUCGCGUCCUAUCAGCUUGUUGGCGGGGUGAUGGCCCACCAAGGCGUUGACGGGUAGCCGGCCUGAGAGGGUGACCGGCCACAUUGGGACUGAGAUACGGCCCAGACUCCUACGGGAGGCAGCAGUGGGGAAUAUUGCACAAUGGGCGCAAGCCUGAUGCAGCGACGCCGCGUGCGGGAUGGAGGCCUUCGGGUUGUAAACCGCUUUUGUUCAAGGGCAAGGCACGGUUUCGGCCGUGUUGAGUGGAUUGUUCGAAUAAGCACCGGCUAACUACGUGCCAGCAGCCGCGGUAAUACGUAGGGUGCGAGCGUUAUCCGGAUUUAUUGGGCGUAAAGGGCUCGUAGGCGGUUCGUCGCGUCCGGUGUGAAAGUCCAUCGCCUAACGGUGGAUCUGCGCCGGGUACGGGCGGGCUGGAGUGCGGUAGGGGAGACUGGAAUUCCCGGUGUAACGGUGGAAUGUGUAGAUAUCGGAAAGAAACACCA